rnacentral:rRNA from 1 species
UAAUACGUAGGAAUCUGCCUAGUAGUGGGGGAUAACCCGGGGAAACUCGGGCUAAUACCGCAUACGCUCUAAGGAGGAAAGCGGGGGCUCGCAAGACCUCGCGCUAUUGGAUGAGCCUGCGUCCGAUUAGCUAGUUGGUAGGGUAAAGGCCUACCAAGGCGACGAUCGGUAGCUGGUCUGAGAGGAUGAUCAGCCACACUGGAACUGAGACACGGUCCAGACUCCUACGGGAGGCAGCAGUGGGGAAUAUUGGACAAUGGGCGCAAGCCUGAUCCAGCAAUGCCGCGUGUGUGAAGAAGGCCUGCGGGUUGUAAAGCACUUUAAGCAGGAAAGAAGGGGUAAAGGUUAAUACCCUUUAUCAUUGACGUUACCUGCAGAAUAAGCACCGGCUAACUCCGUGCCAGCAGCCGCGGUAAUACGGAGGGUGCGAGCGUUAAUCGGAAUUACCGGGCGUAAAGCGCGCGUAGGCGGUGGGCUAAGUCCGCUGUG